GAUGAACGCUGGCGGCGUGCCUAAUACAUGCAAGUCGAACGAACGGACCAGAAGUUUGCUUCUCUGAGGUUAGCGGCGGACGGGUGAGUAACACGUGGAUAACACACCUAUAAGACUGGGUUAACUUCGGGAAACCGGAGCUAAUACCGGAACAUAUUUUGAACCGGAAGGUCUAAAAUCUAAAGACGGUGUUGGUGUCAUUUAAAGAUGGAACCGCGCUGCAUUAGCUAUUUGGUAAGGUGACGGCAUACCAAGGGAACGAUGCAUAGCCGACCUGAGAGCGUGAUCGGCCACACUGGAGCUGAGACGCGGUCCAGACUCCUACGAGAGGCAGCAGUGGGGACUCUUCCGCAAUGGGCUAAAGCCUGACGCGGCAACGCCGCGUGAGUGAUGAAGGUCUUCGGAUCGUAAGACGCUGUUAUUUGGGAAGAACAUAUGUGUAAGUAACUGAGCAGAUCUUGACGGUACCUAAGCAGAAAGCCACGGCUAACUACGUG
rnacentral:rRNA from 1 species